ACACACACACACACACACACACACACACACACACACACACACUUUCAGAAAGUAUUCACACCCCUUGACGUUUUCACAUUUUGUUGCGUUACAGCUUGAAUUUAAAAACAGAUUCAAUUGCGAUGUGUGUAGAUCAGUGACACAAACCACAUAAUGUCAAAGUGGAAUUAUUUAAAAAAUGAACAGCUGUAAUGUAAUGAGUCAAUAAGUAUUCAACCCCUUUGUUAUUUUCAAGCCUAAACAAGUUCAGGAGUAAAAAAUAAGUUGUAUGGAUGGACUCACUGUGUGCAAUAAUAAGCGUAACAUGAUUUGUGAAUGACGACCUCAUCUCUCUACCCCAAAACAAACAAUUAUCUGUAAGGUCCCUCAGUCGAGCAGUGCAUUUUCACAACACAGAUUCAACCACAAAGACCAGGGAGGUUUUCCAACCACAAAGACCAGGGAGGUUUUCCAACCACAAAGACCAGGGAGGUUUUCCAACCACAAAGACCAGGGAGGUUUUCCAACCACAAAGACCAGGGAGGUUUUCCAACCACAAAGACCAGGGAGGUUUUCCAACCACAAAGACCAGGGAGGUUUUCCAACCACAAAGACCAGGGAGGUUUUCCAACCACAAAGACCAGGGAGGUUUUCCAACCACAAAGACCAGGGAGGUUUUCCAACCACAAAGACCAGGGAGGUUUUCCAACCACAAAGACCA